GGGAGCUCUCCCAUAUGGUCGACCUGCAGGCGGCCGCGAAUUCACUAGUGAUUCGUAUUACCGCGGCUGCUGGCACGAAGUUAGCCGGGGCUUCUUCUGCGGGUACCGUCAUUAUCGUCCCCGCCGAAAGAGCUUUACAACCCUAAGGCCUUCAUCACUCACGCGGCAUGGCUGGAUCAGGCUUGCGCCCAUUGUCCAAUAUUCCCCACUGCUGCCUCCCGUAGGAGUCUGGGCCGUGUCUCAGUCCCAGUGUGGCUGAUCAUCCUCUCAGACCAGCUACGGAUCGUCGCCUUGGUGGGCCGUUACCUCACCAACUAGCUAAUCCGACGCGGGCCGAUCCUUCGGCGAUAAAUCUUUCUCCUUGCGGACGUAUCCGGUAUUAGCCCGAGUUUCCCCGGGUUAUUCCGAACCGAAGGGUACGUUCCCACGCGUUACUCACCCGUCUGCCACUCCCCUUGCGGGGCGUUCGACUUGCAUGUGUUAGGCCUGCCGCCAGCGUUCGUUCUGAGCCAUGAUCAAACUCUAAUCGAAUUCCCGCGGCCGCCAUGGCGGCCGAAAGCAUGCGACGU
rnacentral:rRNA from 1 species